UACGUAGGUGACAAGCGUUAUCCGGAUUUAUUGGGCGUAAAGCGCGCGCAGGCGGCUCUUCAAGUCUGACGUGAAAUCUCUCGGCUUAACCGGGAGCGGUCGUUGGAAACUGAAGGGCUUGAGGCGAUGAGAGGGGUGUGGAAUUCCCGGUGUAGUGGUGGAAUGCGUAGAUAUCGGGAGGAACAUCAGUGGCGAAAGCGGCACCCUGGCAUUAGCCUGACGCUCAUGCACGAAAGCGUGGGGAGCAAACAGG
rnacentral:rRNA from 1 species